UACGGGGGGGGCAAGCGUUGUUCGGAAUUACUGGGCGUAAAGGGCUCGUAGGUGGCCAACUAAGUCAGACGUGAAAUCCCUCGGCUUAACCGGGGAACUGCGUCUGAUACUGGUUGGCUUGAAUCCGGGAGAGGGAUGUGGAAUUCCAGGUGUAGCGGUGAAAUGCGUAGAUAUCAAGAGGAAUACCUGAGGUGAAGACGGGUUGCUAGGCCGACACUGACGCUGAAGCGCGAAAGCCAGGGGAGCAAACGGG
rnacentral:rRNA from 1 species